CCUACGGGGGACAGCAGUGAGGAAUAUUGGUCAAUGGACGAGAGUCUGAACCAGUCAAGUAGCGUGAAGGAUGACUGCCCUAUGGGUUGUAAACUUCUUUUAUAUGGGAAUAAAAUGUUCCACGUGUGGGAUUUUGUAUGUACCAUAUGAAUAAGGAUCGGCUAACUCCGUGCCAGCAGCCGCGGUAAUACGGAGGAUCCGAGCGUUAUCCGGAUUUAUUGGGUUUAAAGGGAGCGUAGGUGGAUUGUUAAGUCAGUUGUGAAAGUUUGCGGCUCAACCGUAAAAUUGCAGUUGAAACUGGCAGUCUUGAGUACAGUAGAGGUGGGCGGAAUUCGUGGUGUAGCGGUGAAAUGCUUAGAUAUCACGAAGAACUCCGAUUGCGAAGGCAGUUCACUGGACUGCAACUGACACUGAGGCUCGAAAGUGUGGGUAUCAAACAGGAUUAGAUACCCCAGUAGUC
rnacentral:rRNA from 1 species